GGCAUUGCCUCACCCACAGAAAGCCCGGCCUGCCCUCCCUUCCAGACACAGGCAUGGCACUCUGAGACUUACAACAGUGCCAGUUCUUGCAUGGCUUCUGACUCAUCAAAGGCCAUAAGAGAAGACAAAGCAAUUGAAUUAGAAAGCAAACAUCACAAUAGUGCCUGUGAAAACCAGCAUGGAUUUACAAGACAAGUAAAUUUUUUUCCUAAAAUGGCACUUCACUAACAAUCAUUUAAUAGAUUUUUUUUUUAAAUCAUGGUGAGAGUUAUUACCACUGUUACCAAAAUGCUGGAAAUAGCAUUUCAGAUUCUGAGCUCCUCCUGUGCAUUACAUGUGCUACAAGUAGUUCUUGUAGGGUGGGAGGGCAAUUGUUGCAGAAACUGUAGCCACAGUAACAUCUUUCUCUAGCAUCUUCACAUUGGUAAUGAAGAGCAAAUCAGGCUCCAGUUAUUCACAAAUUGCUCAAAACAUUGGCACUUACAAAUGUCACAGCCUUCUCUGCCUGCAGAAAGACUAUGAAAGGAAUGCUCCAUCAUGCUGUGGCACAAGAAAAGUGCACGCCUGAAUUGGAAAUGCGAUCUUUCACUGUCUAGGUAUUACACAGGUUGCAUUACCCAGUGAGAGAAGGGAUUCGCCCUAUCAGCCACAUGCAGAUAAGUACUACGACUCCAUCAAUUUUGUCCCCAUUUGGAAAAAAAAAAAAUACUGCUGUAUUUUUCAGAUCUAGACCAUAGGGAAGACUACAGACGCUGAUUUUUUUCAAACAGGCAUGGUCCAGCAUGUAAUGACAACAUAUAUACCCUCUCUGUCUUCUACAUUUUUUGAAGAAAGUGGCUAGAGGUGUCAUGAUGUCACUGAGUUUAUGUGGCAAGGUGCUGGACAGUGGGGGAUGCAGAAGAAUCACUGUGAGCAGAGGACAGGGCUAUCCUGUGUGGGACACAUCAAGUUCCAGAUGGUUCCAACCAGUGCACCAUAGGGUACAGCUGAGCCUCACAGCCACAAAGGCAGCACAUCUGGAAGAAUAAAUUUAAGGAAGGGCAAAAACCACUGUGCAGUAGAAUGGUAGGGAAAACAUCUGAGAAACAGCCCUGCAGACACCAAGGUGAGAGAAGCAGGAAGGAAUGAUGCUCUGUGCACUGGAGCAGAGAUCCCUCUGAAGUCCAUGGAGAAGACCAUGGGGAAGCAGGUUGCCACCCUGCAGCAUACAGGUGAUCACGUCAGAGCAGAUAUCCACACUGCAGCCAUGGCAGACACCGUGCCAGAGCAGAUGGGUGGGCUCUGAAUGAACUGCAGACUGUAGAGGCCAUGCAGGAGUGGGUUUAUCCCGAAGGACUACAGCCCAUGAAAAAAAUCCAUGCUGAAGCAAGGGAGACAUGGAGGAACGGGGUGCAGAGAUGAAGUGCUAUUAACUGACUACAGUCCUUAUUCCCCACCCUUCUGUACUGUUCAGUGUGUGAAAAGAAGAACAUGGAGAAGCCAGGAAAGGAGUGCGAUUGAGCCUGGGAAGAAGGAGAUAAGAGGGAAGUGUUUUAAUUUUUGUCUUUAUCUCCAUCCAACUCUAAUGGACAAUAAAUUAAUUUUCCUGAAGGCCCUGAAGGACUGGGAAUGUCUUGACCUGGGUCUAGGCUCUAUUCAAACUCCGAGUCUACCAGUGUUUUGAGGGAGUGAUACACACUGGAAUGUGACUGCCAACACCUCACAUGUCUGAUCAACUGCUGAGGUAAGGUCCUACAGAAGUAUGCAGCACUUUUGUACCCACAAAAAAUAUUUAGCAGUCGGGGCUAAAAGAGAAAUUACGAAUGCCUGCAGGAAGCAUAGGCACUGUUCCAUACACUUAAGAGGUGUGCUCGGCUUUCCAUUAUGAUGACGAUCUGUAGAACAAAACUUCCUUCAUCUGAAUGUUUUGUGAAUACUCUCCAGUGCUCCUGAAACAGCGAUGUCCUGAGGAAAAGCAAAGUCAGAGCGCCACCUGCCGCUGCUGUUUAACAGGAAAACAGCGCUGGAUGCCAGUUUCUCCUUCUCAUCUUCCACUGCACACUGAAGUACCCUUGGACUAACAGCCAGCUGAGCGAUAUCGGGUUUACUGCACGUCUAUUUGGACACCAACGCUCUUUAAACCCAUUUCCAGUGUUCACUGGGAAUUGGUUAAUGUUUUUCACUGAGCUUUUAGCAACUACAGUUCAAAUCUUAAUCACAGCGAAUUUCUUCCAGCUCUCAAUAUUCCAAAGCAAAGAGCUGCAAGAUGCAGAGAGUUUAUUCGGCAAGUAUGGCUAUCUGAUUGUCCUUUUCAUUUAUGCUUCCCUAGAAAUCUGCUACUGGAAACUGAAAAACACAAAUGUCGUGUCAGUUAGUCCAUAAAAGUCUACUUACUAUCCAUAAAAGGAAGGUUUUCCUGUAACAACCUUAGCCUUGUAACAGUACUAGAAGUAAGCCUUUAAAAAUGAUCUUGUAUCUGAAAAAAACCCCAAACAAACCAGCAGAUUAGUAGUUAACAGAUACAAAAACUACUACUUGUAUUUUUCAUUUAUAUGUUGAACAGAUCAAAUAAAAUAAACUAUCAAACACACAGACAAGUAUUUCAUUCCCUCAAUUUAAACAGAAACACAUUAAAUGAAAUAGCUCUCUGAAUGUUUCCAUGAUAAGAAAGUCUCACAGACACUUUCAACCUUCUCCCUUAGGCCUUCUUCCUCAGACCACCUCUAAAAGUCUUUUUUUCCUCCAGUGAGGAUGAACUUCUGAGUUAAUUAACUAAAGAUAACAUACUCAAUUUGAACAGUUAAGGUGAAUCUACAUUAACAGUUUACUGAGCAGCAUCAGUUCCUAGGUACGAAUGUGCUGAGUAUCUGUGCCUUGAGUUACAAGGAGCACACUCUGGGCACACAGCCUGUGCACACACUGUGGUUUCUCUCCUGAACUAAGCAGAAAGCUUCACACUGAGGUGCAAUCCAGAGUACCAGGGUUACUGGGGACACAAAGUACAGCCUUUAAAGCAAGAAUUCAGCAACUCUGAAGUCCUCCUGCUAUUUUCAAGCAAGAGAUCUGAAAAUAUUUGUAUGCCUUGUCCUUCCUCUAUAGUUGAAGGAAAUCCAAAAUGAUCAAGUAAUCGGAGACCAGUCACAAGCUUAUGGACCUUCCAAAAAAAAAUAAAUAAAUAAAGUAUACAUGGCCCUUCUACUUCCACAGAGGACGACUCUAAGACAGUAUUUAACCCAUCAAUGUAAGUGCUCUUAUACCACCAUUAUAUCUUUAUAUCUUCAGUUCAGGAGAAUAGAAGCAGGGCAGCUACUGGAGGGUUACCACCCUGAUUCUGACGAGUUCAGUCACUGAAAGGACAAAAAAUUCCAUUGUAAGGUUAAAUUAUCUGAUAGAAAUCUGUGAAGGUCACAAGGCCAUCCCUGCAGAGUCCCACCCUACCAAAUCAAUGUUGCAUGAAGUUAAAAUUAAAAUGAAGGCAACAUUUGAAAAACAGAGGUAAAAUCUAAGUCUGCUAAACCCAGGAAAAUCCAUCUCUGAUACAGGAAACUGGAGAAUUUUGUCUGGGAGAAGAAAAACAAACUACUCAACACGAAGUCUCUGAAGCUUGGAAGAGACCAGAGGACUCUUGCGAGAUAUUCAAAGGUGUUGGAAAAGGGAGAUUAACCACUCUCCCCAGUGAGAACAUUCCAAUGCCCUGAAGUCUCCACAUGGGCAUUUUUGAAAUUGAAGAGAUUUGAUAAUGCUAAAACCCUGACUUUGACUCAAUAUUGUACUGGUGAGAGAUAGUUAAAUGCUGUGGUUCAUGACAUCUGAAAGAUUGCCUAUGUAUUGCUAGUGGUGAAAGCCUAGACUUAAUCUUCAAGGAAAAGAUCUCUGCCUGCAUCUUUCUCCUAGCAACAGCUAAUGACACAGUGAAACCAUGCAGCAGUUUGACUCUGUCGGGGAUAAGAGAUAAAGAGCAAGGAAGGCAGAGCAGCUACUUCCAUAUGAUUAUACAUUGAUUUACUUUCAUUUGGACAACAGAGAAACAGUUUCUCUCCCUGUCCCUCUGUAAAUACAUCUUACCUGUACUCAUGUAAAUGCUUCAUCUGACAACAUAUUAGGAGAGCCAGUUUUGAAACCAUAGACACUGCUGUUAAGCAAGGUAAAUUUUAUUGCAUUCAGACAAAACAGCAGUAACAGGGAAAGGAUGCUACAAUGUACACUGCAACAGGGUGAAUGUUGCCAGUCCUCAUACUGCUCUGUGUGGGGUCAAGCACACAGAGAAGCAAAGCAAGGUCCUUUAAUUGAAAAUGCAGGCUCUAGAAUAGAUUUUUAGUGGUGCCCCACGUGUUAGCGCAUUUUGUCAUUCUCUUUGCUGUGUUUUUUCUUUCUCCUUUUGUAUUUUCCAGUAUGCCACCAAAAGGUACUGCAGAGGAUAAUUUUUUUAUUUUUUUUUUUUAAAUAAGUGGCUACUACCUUUCUGGCAGUACUGCUUAUGGUUCAAGCAGGGAAUGGAAAGACUGGGCACAGAACAUAAAAAUGGGAGGAUGGAACUGGAGGAGGGGACUGCCAGUUGUAGUUCCUUCCUUUUCCAGGAAGGAAAUACAGGAUAUAGUUACUGGACAGAUACAUAUUUCUUGCUGAAUUCCAUUACUUCAACAGAAUAUGGGCUUUUCUAAUAUAAAUCCGACAACUCUCAAUUUGAAUCUGGUUACCUUUUGCAGUGUACAGGUCUUCAACAUGCCCUAUGUACAACCCUCCCAUGACAGAGUUUCUCAGCCAAUGGCAAUUUUAAAAACAGAUACAGUUUUUUAUGUGUUUCACUGUCCAGAUAAUACACAAUCCUGGAACUAUAAACAUUAGGCCUGCAACUAAAAAUUCAGAAGUUAGGUCUGUAAUUCUUCUGUCUGCAUCUCUAAAAAUUAGUCUUCGCCCAAAAUAUUCUAUGCGGUCUUCUUUUUGCAUUCAUCAUUGACCUGGAAUUUGUGCAACUUGACUUUUCUAACAGGCUUUUCAGAUAUGCUGUCUGUUAGCUUCCUAAAUGUUUUUGCUGAUUUAUCUCUCAUACAUUUCCUUUUUCAGUGCCUCAAAGCUUCCAUCCACAGGUUAAUUCCUUGUACAAGGAUGACAUCACAGCUCUUAGGGGAGCUGCAAAUCUCUGUCCCUACCACAGAAACCUACAAAACACAGAAAUACUCAUAACUCAAAAUGUCUGAUGAUUCAGAAAUUCUGAAUCUCUGACACAGAGGUGUCAUAUAAAAUCCAUAUACAAAAUGGUAUCUAAAACCUCUCUGUCAUAAUCUCCCAACAGUGGACUUGUCAGCACUGGUGUGCUAUUAUGGGAGACAAUCUUGAAUUAAAAUACAUGUAUCACACAUUGAAGAGUGGUCUGUGAACAAUUCAAAAGAUCAUUAUCACAGCAACACCCCCACCCAGUCAGGAAUACAGCUAGACAUUUCCCACCAAUUAUGAGGGAAUGACACUGUGGAACAAACCAAUGAAUCUGUAAAACCUCAAACUGCAAAAAAGCUGGGGGAGCAUUAACUGACUGCUUCUCAACUCUUCUGAUGCAAGAUUUUGCAGUGGAGCUCCCACACCUGUGCCAGAAAAUUUCCACAUGUGAAUAUUCUCAGGUCAUAUGCUUUAAGCUUACAGAUAUUAAAGAGCUGGAAGGAGCUGUAACAAUAUUUUCACAUGUUAAAUGUACAAAUGUUUACACCUUUGCAAUUAUUGUUUUAUUUUAAAGUAUAUAAUUAUUAUAAUAUACAAUUCC